rnacentral:rRNA from 1 species
GAUGAACGCUGGCGGCGUGCCUAAUACAUGCAAGUCGAGCGAACAGAUAAGGAGCUUGCUCCUUUGACGUUAGCGGCGGACGGGAGAGUAACACGUGGAUAACCUACCUAUAAGACUGGGAUAACUUCGGGAAACCGGAGCUAAUACCGGAUAACAUAUUGAACCGCAUGGUUCAAUAGUGAAAGGCGGCUUUGCUGUCACUUAUAGAUGGAUCCGCGCCGUAUUAGCUAGUUGGUAAGGUAACGGCUUACCAAGGCAACGAUACGUAGCCGACCUGAGAGGGUGAUCGGCCACACUGGAACUGAGACACGGUCCAGGCUCCUACGGGAGGCAGCAGUAGGGAAUCUUCCGCAAAGGGCGAAAGCCUGACGGAGCAACGCCGCGUGAGUGAUGAAGGUCUUCGGAUCGUAAAACUCUGUUAUCAGGGAAGAACAAAUGUGUAAGUAACUGUGCACAUCUUGACGGUACCUGAUCAGAAAGCCACGGCUAACUACGUG